AUUGAACGCUGGCGGCAUGCCUUACACAUGCAAGUCGAACGGCAGCACGGGAGCAAUCCUGGUGGCGAGUGGCGAACGGGUGAGUAAUAUAUCGGAACGUGCCCAGUCGUGGGGGAUAACGCAGCGAAAGCUGUGCUAAUACCGCAUACGAUCUCUGGAUGAAAGCGGGGGACUCGCAAGAGCCUCGCGCGAUUGGAGCGGCCGAUAUCAGAUUAGCUAGUUGGCGGGGUAAAAGCCCACCAAGGCGACGAUCUGUAGCUGGUCUGAGAGGACGACCAGCCACACUGGAACUGAGACACGGUCCAGACUCCUACGGGAGGCAGCAGUGGGGAAUUUUGGACAAUGGGCGCAAGCCUGAUCCAGCCAUGCCGCGUGCGGGAAGAAGGCCUUCGGGUUGUAAACCGCUUUUAGUCGGGAAGAAAAGGCCGUCCCUAAUACGGAUGGUUGUUGACGGUACCGGCGGAAUAAGCACCGGCUAACUACGUGCCAGCAGCCGCGGUAAUACGUAGGGUGCAAGCGUUAAUCGGAAUUACUGGGCGUAAAGCGUGUGUAGGCGGUUCGGAAAGAAAGAUGUGAAAUCCCAGGGCUCAACCUUGGAACUGCAUUUUUAACUGCCGAGCUAGAGUAUGUCAGAGGGGGGUAGAAUUCCACGUGUAGCAGUGAAAUGCGUAGAUAUGUGGAGGAAUACCGAUGGCGAAGGCAGCCCCCUGGGAUAAUACUGACGCUCAGAC
rnacentral:rRNA from 1 species